UCUUAGCUUGAAUACUAUCACAAAACACUUGAAAUUAAGAGUAUAUAGCUAUGGUUAAACUUCUUGACAGCAACAAGACUACCUUUCUUUCACUCUUUUUCUGCUUCCUCAUCCUUGCAGCCUUCGAGGCUCAAAUCGGGGAGGCAAAAUGCACAAGGCCAAGCAAAGGAUAUCGUUCGAGAUGUGUCGGUUACCGAUGUAACUCAUACUGCAUGCAAUCCGAAGGAGCUUACUCCGGGUCUUGUAUGAUGCAAAACUCGGGUGGUUUUGCUUGCUAUUGCCACUACUACCGAUGCUGAAUGAGUUCCAUAACUUGAUAUGUAAUCAAUUGGUGAUACUGCAGCUGUAUAUGUAACAUAAACUAAAUAAAAGCUGCCUGUGUGUGAUUCUGAGCAGCAAUUACAGUAAUUAUCACCAGUGAGAUGUUGCUAAGUUGUUAUGUUACUGCUGUACUGAUAUAUAAUAUAUAAUAAGUGUAAUUUCGUGCUAUAAUAUAUAAAGAUAUUGUUGUUCCUCAUGUGACA